UUGCACUUUUCUGGGCCUCCGUCGUUUGUUGUCUGGUCUACAGUUGAUCGAUCUCGCUUCAUUUGGUGGAGGAUGCGGGCAACUAAAGAUCAGCAGUAAGAGGUACAGGUGUUUGUUGUCGGCGGAGGUCGAGGCCAGAUCAGGUGAUUGAACGGCAGACGUCACGGUGAUCGCUUGACUAUUGGGCCCACAAAAAGGUAAGGCACAAACCUCUUAAACUGAAAUUGUGCUGUAGUGGAUUAUAAUUCUAGAACAUGUAGUCAAGUGGUCAUCCGUUGAUCUCUGUUUUGAGUUUUGUUUGAAACGAAAACCUUUGUUGCAACGAAAGUGAAACUUAAGAAGUAAUUUGUGUUGUGUUCACGGUCGCUCGGAAAAAGCAGUACUGAGCUAAAA